GACGAACGCUGGCGGCGUGCUUAACACAUGCAAGUCGAACGCUGAAGCUUGGUGCUUGCACUGGGUGGAUGAGUGGCGAACGGGUGAGUAAUACGUGAGUAACCUGCCCUUGACUCUGGGAUAAGCCUGGGAAACUGGGUCUAAUACUGGAUACGACAUGUCACCGCAUGGUGGUGUGUGGAAAGGGUUUUACUGGUUUUGGAUGGGCUCACGGCCUAUCAGCUUGUUGGUGGGGUAAUGGCUCACCAAGGCGACGACGGGUAGCCGGCCUGAGAGGGUGACCGGCCCCAGUGGGACUAGGAAACGGCCCAGACUCCAACGGGGGGCAAGGGGGGGGAAUAUUGCACAAUGGGGGGAAGCGGGAUGCAGGGACGCCGGGUGGGGGAUGACGGCCUUGGGGUGUUAAACCUCUUUCAGCAGGAAAGAAGGAAAAGGGGCGGUACGUGCAGAAAAAGCGCCGGCAAACUACGG
rnacentral:rRNA from 1 species